rnacentral:rRNA from 1 species
UACGGGGGGAGCAAGCGUUGUUCGGAUUUACUGGGCGUAAAGGGCGCGUAGGCGGCCCGGUAAGUCCGCUGUAAAAGUCCAGGGCUCAACCCUGGAAAGCCGGUGGAUACUGUCGGGCUAGAGUCCGGAAGAGGCGAGUGGAAUUCCUGGUGUAGCGGUGGAAUGCGCAGAUAUCAGGAGGAACACCGGUGGCGAAGGCGGAUCUCUGGGCCUUGCCUGACGCUGAGGCGCGAAAGCUAGGGGAGCGAACAGG